AUUGAACGCUGGCGGCAGGCCUAACACAUGCAAGUCGAGCGGAGCGGCGGACGGGUGAGUAAUGCCGAGGUAUCUGCCUGGUAGUGAGGGAUAACGUCAGGAACCGGGCGCUAAUACCUCAUACUUUCAGAUGAGCCUAGGGCGGAUUAGUUAGUUGGUGUGGUAAAGGCCUACACAGGCGACGAUCGUUAAAUGGUCUGAGAGGAUGAUCAGUCACACUGGAACUGAGACACGGCCCAGACUCCUACGGGAGGCAGCAGUGGGGAAUAUUGGACAAUGGGCAAAAGCCUGAUCCAGCCAUGCCGAGUGUGUGAAGAAGGCCUUCGGAUUGUAAAGCACUUUAAGUUGGGAGGCGUUACCAACAGAAUAAGCACCGGCUAACUUCGUGCCAGCAGCCGCGGUAAUAC
rnacentral:rRNA from 1 species